GUACCAUAACCGACACAGGUGGGUAGGUAGAGUAUACUAAGGGGCGCGAGAUAACUCUCUCUAAGGAACUCGGCAAAAUGACUCCGUAACUUCGGGAGAAGGAGUGCCUUAUUUAUAAGGUUGCAAUAACAAGAUCCAAGCAACUGUUUAUCAAAAACACAGGUCUCCGCUAAGUCGUAAGACGAUGUAUGGGGGCUGACGCCUGCCCAGUGCCAGAAGGUUAAAGAAGUUGGUUAGUGUAUGCGAAGCUGAUGACUGAAGCCCUGGUGAACGGCGGCCGUAACAAUAACGGUCCUAAGGUAGCGAAAUUCCUUGUCGGGUAAAUUCCGACCCGCACGAAAGGCGUAAUGAUUUGGAUACUGUCUCGGAGAGAGGCUCGGUGAAAUAGACUUGUCUGUGAAGAUGCGGACUACCUGCACCAGGACAGAAAGACCCUAUGAAGCUUUACUGUAACUUGAAAUUGGAAUUGGACUUUGCUUGCGCAGUAUAGGUGGGAAGCGUUGAAGAUAUUCUUGCGGGAGUAUUGGAGCUAUCAGUGAGAUACCACUCUUGUAAUGUUAGAUUUCUAACUUUGAACCAUAAUCUGGUCAAAGAACAGUUUCAGGUGGGCAGUUUGACUGGGGCGGUCGCCUCCCAAAUGGUAACGGAGGCGUACAAAGGUUUCCUCUGAACGGAUAGAAAUCGUAUCUAGAGUGUAAAGGCAUAAGGAAGCUUGACUGUGAGACCUACAAGUCGAGCAGGGACGAAAGUCGGUCUUAGUGAUCUGACGGUACUGAGUGGAAAGGCCGUCACUCAACGGAUAAAAGUUACUCUAGGAUAACAGGCUGAUCUCCCCCAAGAGUUCACAUCGACGGGGAGGUUUGGCACCUCGAUGUCGGCUCAUCGCAUCCUGGGGCGGUAGUACGUCCCAAGGGUUGGGCUGUUCGCCCAUGAAAGCGGUACGCGAGCUGGGUUCAGAACGUCGUGAGACAGUUCGGUCCAUAUCCGGUGUAGGCGUUAGAAUAUUGAGAGGAGCCUUCUUUAGUACGAGAGGACCGAGAAGGACACACCGCUGGUGUACCAGUUAUCGUGCCAACGGUAAACGCUGGGUAGCUAUGUGUGGAGUGGAUAACCGCUGAAAGCAUCUAAGUGGGAAGCCCACCUCAAGAUGAGUAUUCUGGUGUAAGGUCACGGGAAGACGACCCGUAAAUAGGCACGAGGUGGAAGUGCAGAGAUGUAUGAAGCCGAAGUGUACUAAUAGACCGUCGGCUUGAC
rnacentral:rRNA from 1 species